rnacentral:tRNA from 1 species
GGUGUGAUAGCCCAACUGGAAGAGGCCCACGGUUCCCAAGAGCCGCGACAGUGUAGGUUCAAGUCCUACUCACACCA